rnacentral:lncRNA from 1 species
GUGAGGGCUACAGGAAUGCACGUUUCUCCCUUUGUGCCCUACUAAAGGUUCGACGCUUCAGAUUGGGGGUCCAGUAUAUGCAAUCUCACAAGGAUGGUUCCCUGAGCCUAAAGGUCGAAGGUCACUAGAGCCAAGGCCACAUCAUAGUACCUCCACAAUAGUAGAGUGAAUAAACUAGGUGUGAAGAUAAAAGUGAAAGGAACAAACUCUAGUUGGGGUUCUCACGAUAGCCAAACAUGAAGUAUAUCCAAAGUGGCACCGCUACACAACCCCUCUAUUUCUAAACUACAUCAAACCCAGGUAUAGGUCCCCACUCAAUGGAUGCACAAAAUGUGUGUGUGAAGGGAGAGUAUAAAUGCAUACCCCAAACCCCC